rnacentral:rRNA from 1 species
CCUACGGGGAGCUGCAGUGGGGAAUAUUGGACAAUGGGCGAAAGCCUGAUCCAUCCAUGCCGCGUGUGUGAAGAAGGCCUUCGGGUUGUAAAGCACUUUCAGUGGGGAAGAAAGCCUUGGGGCUAAUACCCUCGAGGAAGGACAUCACCCACAGAAGAAGCACCGGCUAACUCCGUGCCAGCAGCCGCGGUAAUACGGAGGGUGCGAGCGUUAAUCGGAAUUACUGGGCGUAAAGCGCGCGUAGGCGGUCUGAUAAGCCGGUUGUGAAAGCCCCGGGCUCAACCUGGGAACGGCAUCCGGAACUGGCAGGCUAGAGUGCAGGAGAGGAAGGUAGAAUUCCCGGUGUAGCGGUGAAAUGCGUAGAGAUCGGGAGGAAUACCAGUGGCGAAGGCGGCCUUCUGGACUGACACUGACGCUGAGGUGCGAAAGCGUGGGUAGCAAACAGGAUUAGAUACCCUUGUAGUC